GGACAGAAAGACCCUAUGAAGCUUUACUGUAACUUGAGAUUGAAAUUGGACUUUACUUGCGCAGUAUAGGUGGGAGGCUUAGAGUUCAUUCUUGCGGGAAUGAAGGAGCCAUCAGUGAGAUACCACUCCUAUAAUGUUAGAUUUCUAACUUUUACCAUUAUCUGGUGAAAGGACAGUUUCAGGCGGGCAGUUUGACUGGGGCGGUCGCCUCCUAAACGGUAACGGAGGCGCACAAAGGUUUCCUCUGAACGGGUAGAAAUCGUAUCUAGAGUGUAAAGGCAAAAGGAAGCUUGACUGUGAGACCUACAAGUCGAGCAGGGACGAAAGUCGGUCUUAGUGAUCUGACGGUGCUGAGUGGAAAGGCCGUCACUCAACGGAUAAAAGUUACUCUAGGGAUAACAGGCUGA
rnacentral:rRNA from 1 species